rnacentral:tRNA from 1 species
GGGCCCGUAGUCUAACCUGGAUAGCGCUUGCCCAGUAAGGACACCAGCCUGCGGUCAUUGGCGGAAAGCUGGCGAUCCGGGUUCAAAUCCCGGCGGGCCCG